rnacentral:lncRNA from 1 species
GAACAAGCGCAGGGCAUUUAUUUCACCAUGCACUAGGAUAUAUGACAGUAACACAUCCAAAUGUUCCACAGAAUCCAGCUCUUGGGAAAUGAUGCAGUGCCUCACUUGCUGCACCGAGACAGAAAAUAUGACCAGCUCCAUUGGAUAUCUAUUUCCAAAGGAUGUGAACAAUGUUUCUUGAGGAU